CGCGGGGUGGAGCAGUCCGGUAGCUCGUUGGGCUCAUAACCCAAAGGUCGGGGGUUCAAAUCCCCCCCCCCCCGCUACCA
rnacentral:tRNA from 1 species